rnacentral:rRNA from 1 species
CGCCUGCGCACUCACUGCAUUAUCAGAGAUUACAUUGUUUUAGUUUUUCUGUAAGGAGAUCGAGUCCCUGAAAAGGGUUCCCCCGAGAUAGGGAUGGUGGCUCCGUAGAGCAGUGCGGCCCUUGCGCUGUCCGGUGUGCUCGCGUCGGCCCUUGAAAA